rnacentral:rRNA from 1 species
GAUGAACGCUGGCGGCGUGCCUAAUACAUGCAAGUCGAGCGAACGGACGAGAAGCUUGCUUCUCUGAUGUUAGCGGCGGACGGGUGAGUAACACGUGGAUAACCUACCUAUAAGACUGGGAUAACUUCGGGAAACCGUAGCUAAUACCGGAUAAUAUUUUGAACCGCAUGGUUCAAAAGUGAAAGACGGUCUUGCUGUCACUUAUAGAUGGAUCCGCGCUGCAUUAGCUAGUUGGUAAGGUAACGGCUUACCAAGGCAACGAUGCAUAGCCGACCUGAGAGGGUGAUCGGGCACACUGGGACUGAAACACGGUCCAGACUCCUACAGGAGGCCGCAGUAGGGAAUCUUCCGCAAUGGGCAAAAGCCUAACAGAGCAACGCCGCGUGAGUGAUGAAGGUCUUCGGAUCGUAAAACUCUGUUAUUAGGGAAGAACAUAUGUGUAAGUAACUGUGCACAUCUUGACGGUACCUAAUCAGAAAGCCACGGCUAACUACGUG